AGAGUACUACUAGCAACAGCUUAAAACUCAAAGGACUUGGCGGUGCUUCACACCCUUCUAGAGGAGCCUGUUCUGUAAUCGAUAAACCCCGAUAAACCUCACCAGCCCUUGCUAAUACAGCCUAUAUACCGCCAUCUUCAGCAAACCCUAAAAAGGAGACAUAGUAAGCAAAACUAUGCAACAUAAAAACGUUAGGUCAAGGUGUAGCCUAUGGGUCGGAAAGAAAUGGGCUACAUUUUCUAAUAUAGAACAUUUAACGAAUACUCCCGUGAAACCAGGAGUGGAAGGAGGAUUUAGUAGUAAAUUAAGAAUAGAGAGCUUAAUUGAAUUAGGCCAUGAAGCAC
rnacentral:rRNA from 1 species